CGGUUACGGCCGGGUAGAGUGUCGGCGUCGUCAUCACACCCGUACGGGGGGAAGCCGGUGCAAAUCCGGCGCUGACCCGCAACCGUGAGCCACCCAUGGCAAGCCGGAUCGCCCCGCACGGGUCUUGUGACCGG
rnacentral:ncRNA from 1 species